rnacentral:rRNA from 1 species
UACGAAGGGGGCUAGCGUUGUUCGGAAUCACUGGGCGUAAAGGGCGCGUAGGCGGCUUUAUAAGUCGGGGGUGAAAGCCUGUGGCUCAACCACAGAAUUGCCUUCGAUACUGUAGAGCUUGAGACCGGAAGAGGUAAGUGGAACUGCGAGUGUAGAGGUGAAAUUCGUAGAUAUUGGGAGGAACACCAGUGGCGAAGGCGGCUCACUGGACCGGUACUGACGCUGAAGCGCGAAAGCGUGGGGAGCAAACGGG